rnacentral:rRNA from 1 species
UACGAAGGGGGCUAGCGUUGCUCGGAAUCACUGGGCGUAAAGCGCACGUAGGCGGAGUUGUUAAGUCAGGGGUGAAAUCCUGGAGCUCAACUCCAGAACUGCCUUUGAUACUGGCGAUCUUGAGUCCGGGAGAGGUGAGUGGAACUGCGAGUGUAGAGGUGAAAUUCGUAGAUAUUCGCAAGAACACCAGUGGCGAAGGCGGCUCACUGGCCCGAUACUGACGCUGAGGCACGAAAGCGUGGGGAGCAAACAGGG